AUACUACUCCCUCUGUUCCGUAAUUCUUGUCGAAAUAUUACAUGUAUCUAGAGUUCUAGACGCUUUUUAGGAAUAGGUACAUCCAAUUUUGGACAAAUUUGAGACAAGAAUUAUGGAACGGAGGGAGUAGUAU
rnacentral:pre_miRNA from 1 species